CUCUCGCAGCCCGGUACCAAGUGACUCACGGACCGGUACCGGUCCGAGGCCCGGGGGUUGGGGACCGCUGGCUUACGACACCCACUGUCUGCCACCUACAGUGAAGUUUCAAUAGUGAGUCAGCGACGCUCUUAAGGGACAACUCCCACUAGGUACUGUCCACCAUUUGGUUUUAGAACUGAAGAAGCUUCUUGAAUGAGAGGUGAAAUGUCUUCAAGAAACUUAAAGAAGUCCAAGCUCCUUAGACUACUAUGACGUGUAUGAUUUAGAACCUAAACAGAUAUGCUUUCUAGUUCACUUUAACAUCAUUGAAAUUGUUAAAUGCUAUUGUAGAAGCUUGGGAACUACUUGAUGGAACACCUCUCUUCGACUCUGAAAGUAUUUUCUAAAAGAUGAGUGAUUGUGGGCCAAUCCCAAAGUCCACAUUCACAGGCUCAAAAGACUGUGGCAUGUUCCUGCUAAAUCCUUAGGGCAGUGUAAAAUCAUCAAGUGCAUGAGAUUUCUCUGAUAUUUAACCAUUUAAGAACCUCUUCCAUAUAUUUCUGCAGGUUUUGCCCAGUGUAGUUAUCCAGAUCUAAUAACACAGUAAUUUCAAACAUGUUAUCAGGAGAAGCACAAAACAUUGGAAAGCUAAUAACAAAAUGACAAAAAAUAUCAAAACAUAUCUUGUAAAGUAUUACAAACUGUCAAAGACCCAACUGUGUAGCUUUUUAAUCUUAUUUACUAUUAUAUGGCAUUUUCAUAAUGUUGCCGUAGUCUUGGGUCGUUUGUCCCAGCCUUUUAGAAUUAAUGGUGUUUUGUGAUUUCUUUGUGUGUAAUAUUUUGGUUUUAUAUUUUCAGUAUCUUUUGGGCUGCUAUGUUUAGUUUUCAUGUUGUCUUGUCGGGAUGUCUCAUCAGCCCUUCCUGUCUGUCAUGUUUAUUCCAUGUUUCCCCAGCCUGUCAUGUCUCUUUCUCUUGUGCUCUCUCGUCCCCUCUCUCUCGUGUUCCCUCGCUCCUUCUCUCAUCUGCCAUUCUUCCUGUGUCAAGCUCAUGUGUCAGUAUACGUCUCAGUGUUUCCUGUUUUAUUUUGAUAGUCUCGUGUUGCAUGUUCAGUCUGUCUAGUUUUGCUUCCUGUGCAAAUUCCCUGCUGACUCAGCCUCAGGAUGGCUAGAGGCAAGAAUCAAGGGCACCCAAAUGAGCGCAUCAUUGAUCAUGUGCACAUCACGCAGAGGGAGAGUGGGAGUGAGAGACGCAGCGACAGAGCAUGGCAGUUGUAACGCAGUUUGUGUGAUUCCGUGUGCGUUAAUGAAACUAAAACCAUGCUUAUAGUCACCAAUACUGCAUCUGCCACAAUUAUAAGUGCAUAUCUGGCUGUACCACAGUUGGAUUUAUCAUGGCAAGCCCUGCUGUAACCAGUUCUUCUGUGAAGUUUCAUUAAAGACAGUGAACUAAAAA